rnacentral:tRNA from 1 species
GGCUUCAUGGUCGAAUGGUAAGGACACUUGCCUCUUACCCUGGAGUCCCAUGUUCGAUCCUCGGUCGAGAAGCUA